rnacentral:rRNA from 1 species
CAGCACCUCAAGUGGUCAGGAUGAUUAUUGGGCCUAAAGCAUCCGUAGCCGGCGCUGUAAGUUUUCGGUUAAAUCUGUACUCUCAACGUACAGGCUGCCGGGAAUACUGCAGCGCUAGGGAGUGGGAGAGGUAGACGGUACUCGGUAGGAAGGGGUAAAAUCCUUUGAUCUAUUGAUGACCACCUGUGGCGAAGGCGGUCUACCAGAACACGUCCGACGGUGAGGGAUGAAAGCUGGGGGAGCAAACCGGAUUAGAGACCCGAGUAGUCC